UGACUGCGUACCUUUUGUAUAAUGGGUCAGCGACUUAUAUUCUGUAGCAAGGUUAACCGAAUAGGGGAGCCGGAGGGAAACCGAGUCUUAAUUGGGCGUUAAGUUGCAGGGUAUAGACCCGAAACCCGGUGAUCUAGCCAUGGGCAGGUUGAAGGUUGGGUAACACUAACUGGAGGACCGAACCGACUAAUGUUGAAAAAUUAGCGGAUGACCUGUGGCUGGGGGUGAAAGGCCAAUCAAACCGGGAGAUAGCUGGUUCUCCCCGAAAGCUAUUUAGGUAGCGCCUCGUGAAUUCAUCUCCGGGGGUAGAGCACUGUUUCGGCUAGGGGGCCAUCCCGGCUUACCAACCCGAUGCAAACUGCGAAUACCGGAGAAUGUUAUCACGGGAGACACACGGCGGGUGCUAACGUCCGUCGUGAAGAGGGAAACAACCCAGACCGCCAGCUAAGGUCCCAAAGUCAUGGUUAAGUGGGAAACGAUGUGGGAAGGCCCAGACAGCCAGGAUGUUGGCUUAGAAGCAGCCAUCAUUUAAAGAAAGCGUAAUAGCUCACUGGUCGAGUCGGCCUGCGCGGAAGAUGUAACGGGGCUAAACCAUGCACCGAAGCUGCGGCAGCGACGCUGAUGCGUUGUUGGGUAGGGGAGCGUUCUGUAAGCCUGCGAAGGUGUGUCGUGAGGCAUGCUGGAGGUAUCAGAAGUGCGAAUGCUGACAUAAGUAACGAUAAAGCGGGUGAAAAGCCCGCUCGCCGGAAGACCAAGGGUUCCUGUCCAACGUUAAUCGGGGCAGGGUGAGUCGACCCCUAAGGCGAGGCCGAAAGGCGUAGUCGAUGGGAAACGGGUUAAUAUUCCCGUACUUGGUGUUACUGCGAAGGGGGGACGGAGAAGGCUAUGUUGGCCGGGCGACGGUUGUCCCGGUUUAAGCGUGUAGGUGUGUGUUCCAGGUAAAUCCGGUUCACUUUAACACUGAGGCGUGAUGACGAGGCACUACGGUGCUGAAGCAACAAAUGCCCUGCUUCCAGGAAAAGCCUCUAAGCAUCAGGUAACAUCAAAUCGUACCCCAAACCGACACAGGUGGUCAGGUAGAGAAUACCAAGGCGCUUGAGAGAACUCGGGUGAAGGAACUAGGCAAAAUGGUGCCGUAACUUCGGGAGAAGGCACGCUGACACGUAGGUGAAGUGAUUUACUCAUGGAGCUGAAGUCAGUCGAAGAUACCAGCUGGCUGCAACUGUUUAUUAAAAACACAGCACUGUGCAAACACGAAAGUGGACGUAUACGGUGUGACGCCUGCCCGGUGCCGGAAGGUUAAUUGAUGGGGUCAGCGCAAGCGAAGCUCCUGAUCGAAGCCCCGGUAAACGGCGGCCGUAACUAUAACGGUCCUAAGGUAGCGAAAUUCCUUGUCGGGUAAGUUCCGACCUGCACGAAUGGCGUAAUGAUGGCCAGGCUGUCUCCACCCGAGACUCAGUGAAAUUGAACUCGCUGUGAAGAUGCAGUGUACCCGCGGCAAGACGGAAAGACCCCGUGAACCUUUACUAUAGCUUGACACUGAACAUUGAGCCUUGAUGUGUAGGAUAGGUGGGAGGCUUUGAAGUGUGGACGCCAGUCUGCAUGGAGCCGGCCUUGAAAUACCACCCUUUAAUGUUUGAUGUUCUAACGUGGACCCGUGAUCCGGGUUGCGGACAGUGUCUGGUGGGUAGUUUGACUGGGGCGGUCUCCUCCUAAAGAGUAACGGAGGAGCACGAAGGUUGGCUAAUCCUGGUCGGACAUCAGGAGGUUAGUGCAAUGGCAUAAGCCAGCUUGACUGCGAGCGUGACGGCGCGAGCAGGUGCGAAAGCAGGUCAUAGUGAUCCGGUGGUUCUGAAUGGAAGGGCCAUCGCUCAACGGAUAAAAGGUACUCCGGGGAUAACAGGCUGAUACCGCCCAAGAGUUCAUAUCGACGGCGGUGUUUGGCACCUCGAUGUCGGCUCAUCACAUCCUGGGGCUGAAGUAGGUCCCAAGGGUAUGGCUGUUCGCCAUUUAAAGUGGUACGCGAGCUGGGUUUAGAACGUCGUGAGACAGUUCGGUCCCUAUCUGCCGUGGGCGCUGGAGAACUGAGGGGGGCUGCUCCUAGUACGAGAGGACCGGAGUGGACGCAUCACUGGUGUUCGGGUUGUCAUGCCAAUGGCACUGCCCGGUAGCUAAAUGCGGAAGAGAUAAGUGCUGAAAGCAUCUAAGCACGAAACUUGCCCCGAGAUGAGUUCU
rnacentral:rRNA from 2 species